rnacentral:lncRNA from 1 species
UCUCAUGGCGCGGCUCAUAUAUAUACAUUGCCAAAUGUUACACAUUUCCCUUCUUUUCGUGUUUGUAAUUAGUGAAGUGAUAUAUUUUCCUUCGCAUGAACUAUCUGUAUUACUCAAUUAUAAACAGGUUAAAUUCUGAUAUUACAUUUAUGAAUUUGAAAGGUGCUAAAGGAAAACAGCUAUACGGGUGCUGGGGAUGUGUGGAGUGUUGGAUGUUGCAUUAUUCAGAUGGCUACAGCCAAACUUCCGCGGAAUGCAGACAACUUCGACAAAUGGAGGCUUUUAUAUAAGAUUGGGACGUCGUCCGAUCCGCCUCCCAUCCCACACUGGCUGUCUCCAUCACUGAAGAGGCUAACCAAGUCUUGCCGGAUAACGAAUAAAGACGGCAGACCAUCAGCAGAAGAGUUGUUAAAAAACGAUCUGUUCAUAGAAAGUAGGGAAAAUGGCUAUCCAGGUGUUUUUGAGCUGAGCGGAAAUGUGCAUGAAACAAUGUAGGAGAGGUGGAAUGAAAGAGGUUUUCAUUAUUAGUGGGAAAACAAUUUCAGUUGAUUAAAAUUGUUUAUGCCUUUUUCAUUUCACGUUAAGCAUAGUUCCAACAUACAGCUGAAAACUGCGUUCUACUUCUUGUGUGUGAGAACGGAGGGUUGAUACAUGUAAAAAUAUGUAAGCCCUCAAUUUAUUCGAACAGUGUAGUCGUGUUAACUCUGACAUUCAAUAAAAUAAAUGUGACCUUAACUAAUUACUUGUUUACUGCAUUACGUCUAGAUGUGCAUUGUUUAUUUUUUGUUAUUUUUUGUUGUUCUCAAAAUUUCUUGUAUACAGUAGGGCUAUUUUGAUGGUAACUUCAUCUGACACAGUGUAUUCGGCUUGAGUGGAUUUUGCCAGGCCGGAUCAAAAGAGGCGCUCCCGAGAAUACAAUAUUCCAGACCUCGCCGCUUUUGUAAUGAUCCUUUAUUACAUAUUUCCACCGUUUUGUUUGUUGUUUUGUUUUUAACCAAGGAAAAUUAAGGAUGAUUUGUGUUAAGAUUGAACUGAGUGAGUUUUAUUUGUGCACUAGCUGUUUAUACAACCCUGUCGGUGAACUAAUUAAUGAAAGUAGUAUAGCAACAAACAUGAUACCGGGUUUGGAGUACAAUAUAUACAUAAUUUGUUAAAUCGUUUCUGCUUGUGAAAUACAAGCCAUAUUUACUACAGAAUUUAUAUAGGCAUAUGAUAAAUUGAUCUAUUGUACCUGCAAUACAUAUUUCAGCUAUUUUCAGGAGCAUUAUACUAUUAGACAUCAGUGCCUUAAUUUUACCAACAUGUGAUAUGCUGUGUCAGUAAAUGCCGGUUUGCGUAUGUCUUAAUUUUUUUUUCUUUUGUACUUUUGUAGCAUGUGUAAAUGUUGAGUUAGUUCUGCUCAAACCGGGACAAGAGGGCGUGGAUGGUAGCAUGCAUUUCCACUACCGUCCAUGAACAGGCUCAAUCAAACAGAGCCUGCAACAUAUACGUUUUUGUCGUGUUGAGCGACCUGUUGAGUUUCCCCUUUUUCUACUGUAUAUAGGCAUAUUACCAACAUAAAGACAUUGGUUAGUAAAAGUUAAAUACUUAUUUUAUUAUAAUGUUCACAUUUUUAUUCCAACCUUGCUUCCUCUUUAACGUGUGAAUGUAUCUUUUUAUGCUAUUGUGCUAUUGUCUACUUAACAGUAUAUCUGUGCUUUUUAAAAUAGAGUCUGUUGUUUUCGUCUUAACAAAAGGAAUAAUUGCACUUGUCUUAUUUGAUUACUUUUUGUCAAAUCAUUGAUAAUAUAGUUUUGGUAAAGGUAGGGCUAAAAUUGCCAUGAAAAUCUAUCCGUUUUUUUUUUGUUUUUGCGAAGAUGAAGUGAAAACUCUCAAACUUGUUUCUGAUAAAGCUCCAAAUUAUUUCCGAGGGUUAUGAAAAUCAGAUAAAAUAAAAUAAAUUAACGAUCAACAUUUAUCUAAUAGGUAUAUUUUACAUUUGUUUUAUUCAGAAUAUUGUCACUUAUUAUUUGUUCGUCGAAAGUAACUUUGUUACAUUUUAAUAGGUUUAGUUAUCAAAACAAUAUUAUAUAUCAGUCAUCAGGAUGAAUAUUGUGAGUUCGUUUAGGAUAUACAUUCCGCAUUUCAAAAUCUUCAAUCAUGAUAAAGUAUUUUGUAAGUGUGCGAAUUAUCUCCCUUUAGCUAUUACUUUAAUAUGGAUUAUAAGAAAACAUAACAGAUUGUCUAACAUUCUUACGGUGCACUGUAAAAACUGGACAUUGCUUCUUUUUCUUUCUUUUUUUUUUUUUUUUGAAAUGUCAGCAUCGUCUACCAUCUCUAUGAAACAUAAUAAAUCACUUGUCAAAACAACCAGAAAAUGUAUUUUAGAUUGUACUAUGCAUAUUGAAGUUAAUGAAAUAUUAUACUCCAUAAUUAUGUUUGUAAUGAUUAUCAUUAAUAUUGUAGCCAUAAUAAAAAGACUUGUAACGUUCAGCUA